rnacentral:rRNA from 1 species
GCUUAACGCGAAGAACCUUACCUGGGCUUGACAUGCUGGUCGUAGACUUGUGAAAGCUUGUCGUCACUUCGGGUGGACCAGCACAGGUGCUGCAUGGCUGUCGUCAGCUCGUGUCGUGAGAUGUUGGGUUAAGUCCCGUAACGAGCGCAACCCCUAUGAACUGUUGCCAGCGGAUAAUGCCGGGGACUCUGUUCAGACUGCCCAGAUUAACUGGGAGGAAGGAGGGGAUGACGUCAAGUCAGUAUGGCCCUUACGCCCAGGGCUGCACACGUGCUACAACGUCCAGUACAAUGUGAACCGAGACCGUGAGGUGGAGGAAAUCGUCAAAACUGGGCUCAGUUCGGAUUGUAGGCUGCAACUCGCCUACAUGAAGUUGGAAUCGCUAGUAAUGGUGCAUCAGCUACGGCACCGUGAAUACGUUCCCGGGUCUUGUACACACCG